rnacentral:lncRNA from 1 species
AGGGGAGUUUAUUUAUAUGUGAUUCCUUAAGGAAAGCUCCUUGGGUCAAGAUCCUUUCCAUCUGGUGUCCUAUGAACUAAAGAGAGACGUGAUCUGCCUCCCCUCCCCCCUCCCCCCCCCCACCCAACCCCAGGCAUACACUGUUAGGACAGGCACAGGAGAACUGCCACAGGAACUCCUAUUCCAAAAGGAAAGACAGGAGGCAUACACACUGACCCAGAGCAGUUCUGGAAUCUAUCCAGGCACAUGUUGAAAAGUCCUCGCUUAGGAUUCAGUUCAACCCCUGCCUGCAAUUCACUUACCAUGUUCUGACCUCCACACUCUGGUAUCAGGUUCUGCACUGUUAUCUUUUUUUUUUCCCCCACAAAAGGAAAUGCAUGUCUGUAGCCACUUCUUUCUUGCAGAAGUUUGGAAAUCCAAAGGCUUAUAAUUUUUUAGUCUCUGUCCCUUUGAGUCAAGAUUUCUGUGAUUCUUCAAAUACAAUUUUCUUUCAAAAUAUUUUGGUCUCCUUGAAUCUUAUUAAAAGUUACUCCAUUAAACAAAAGCCACAGUCACAAGUUGCUUUGAUUUAAUUCCUUCUCUAUCUUGGUCUUCUAUUAAAAUAGCUGAGGGACAACUUCCUUAAACUUUUUAAAGGGCCUAUUAUUUGACUGAAGGGAUUUGAGAGUCUUAUUUUUAACACCCUUAGAAAACCUUUCAUCUGGGUCUGUAGCACAGUUGGCCCUCCAUGGAUUCAAUCAACCACAGAUCAAAAAUAUUCUUAGAAAACAUUUCAGAAAGUUCCAAAAAGUAAAACUUGAAUUUUCCACAGAAGGGCAACAUUUACUUAGCAUUUACAUUGUAUUAAAUACUACAAGCAAUCUGGAGAUGAUUUAAAGUACAUGGAAGGAUGUGCAUGGGUUAUAUGCAAAUCCUACACCAUUUUACAUAAGGGAUUUAAGCAUCCUCGGAUUUUGGCAUCCAUGGGCAUCCUGAAACCAAUCCCCUGCAGCUAUCAAGGAUACAAUUAUACUCUGAAAUUCCAACUUGUUUUUUCCAAUGUCUUAGCAAUGGAUUUAACAGGCAUAUCCUCAACUUCAUCUUAACUUUUUUCUGCCAGUGACAGAAUUCCCUUUGCUAGGAAGCCAUAUCUUAAUUUUAGCAUCAUUUUCAGUCUUGAAAGGCUGUGAAUAUUCAUAACCAACCAGUCUCAAUUCCUGCAUGUUGAGUACUUUUUUCUUUAGCUUAUCCUUUCCUUCUUGCAUUUUAUUAUAAUCUCAAGAACAUCUCAGGCAGCAUCUUCAACUCUCUAGCUACAGCUCUCCCGAUCCAAAUUAUCCAGUCCCUUAGAUACAUUUUCUACUUUCUACUUUACUAGAAAGCAACAGUGUUUUUACAUUUUCUGCCAUUAUACAACAGAAGUAUAAUGAAAGAAAUUGAGAUGUAAAAUAUAGUUAGUGUCUUUUAUAUUCUAGUCUCAGAAGUAAUAUACUAGAUCUUUCCCUACAUUAUAUUAGUCACACAGACUAACCCUAGUAGAAUGUGUGAGACUAUACAAAGACAGGAAUACCAUUCAGAAGCUGGGAUCACUGGGAUCCAUCUUGGAGUCUGGCUAACAUAAUGUUUGAAGAAUCCUCAGAUAAUGUAUGUCCUGUGUUUCUUGUUCAAUGUGAUAUCGUAAGUGUUUAUUGAGUGCCUAUUUAUAAUACGAAUUUUAUAUGUAAACAUAUGUAACUACUCACCCAUUUUAUGAGUCAUAUGUAUUAGCUAGAGUUCUCCAAAGAGAAAGACCUAAAGAUAUAUACGAACAUAAAUGUGUGUGUGUAUACAUAUAUAUGUACUUUUUUUUUUAAGGAAUUUAUUCCCAUAAAUUUGGAGGCUGGCAAGUCAAAGGUCUGCAAGGUGGGCCAAGUGGUUAGAGACCAGAGAAGUGCUAAUGUUGCAGGUCAAGUCCAAAGAGUGACUGCUGCUCAAUUCCCCCUUGCAUGAGGGAGGUCAGUCUUUUGUGCUAGUCAGACCUUCAAAUGAUUACAUGAGUCCACCCACAUCAUGAAGGGCAAUCUGCUUUCCUCAAAAUGAACUGAUUUAAAAGUAAAUGUCAUUCAAAACAUGCUCACAGAAGCAUCCAGAACAGUGUUUGACUAAACAUCUGGGCUCCAUGGCCCAGCCAAGUUGACACAUAAAACCAACCAUCAUGUCAUUUAAGUAUUGCAGUGGAGCAAGGAGCUGAGAUACAACAUUUUGUCAUGAUGAGUUAGACUGUUUCUCCUACUCCAACAUUUAUAUGUAUCAUUGAUUUGCCAUUCAACUGAGGCUCGCUCUCAGUUCAGAAGUGGUACAAAAGUAAUUUUUAGUCAGCUCAUACCAGAUGGUAGAAAAGUAGUUUUAAUUCAUGUCUACUGUUGGUGUUCAGACAUUUAUUAUGAUUGUAAUAUUGGAGGAGGGGAAGUAAAAGAAACAAUAUUUCAAGAAAGUCCAGAAGCAAGCCCAAGAGAAAAUUAUCAAAAGAGAAAUAAGAACAUGUACUAUUAACUCUCUUACCUACAACACCUGGGCUUUUAAAAGAGAGUAAUGGGUUCAUACACAGUAAGGUGCAAGCCUUUUGCAUCUGACACCUGAUGGCAUGUGUAACCCCUGAAGAGGAAAAGAACUGGGCAAGUGAAUAAAAAGAACUUUUAUUUUGGUGCUGUAGAAAGCCUACUGCCAGCACAUGGAAAGAAGGGCAGAUAUACCAUUUCCUCUUCUCAAGAGACUGCCAUGCAGUGUUGGAAUUGGCAGGGGAAAGUAGAAGCUGGAAACUUUGGAAAGACUCUGAAUAGAUGAGGACAAGAAAGCAAUGGAAUCCUGCACUGUUGCCCAAAGAGCCGAGGAGAGAUUUUGGAGUCUGGAAGACCAUGGUGAAUAGAAACUUAGACUGGUUCAUGGUCAAUAUGGAGACUAUCAGCAACCCUAGUGGUGAACCAGGACAGGGACUAGAACUUCUUUGUGAACAAGUAGGAGGUCAAAGCUAGUGAGACUGCAGUAGUAAUACAGAGAUGACCCAAAUUGCACCGUGGAUUAGGGAGGGCUAAAGAAAUUUCGUUUACAAAGAGUAUGCGCAUGAUUUCCCAUUUCUCUAUUUUCUGGAGUGAGACCAUAUCCUUAUAUAGAACUCAUUAUCUUUCAAAAAAAUAGCAGUCCAUACUGAUCAAAUAUUCAUCUUUCUUAUGACCCCAUUCAAGAGAGAUGAAAACACAAUAAUACAUUUACAUAAAUAGUGGAUAUGAGAAGCAAAGUGUCUAAUUCUCUAUGUCUUUACUAAACAAAUAAUUUCAAAGAACCUCAGUUUCUUCUUCUAUAAAAUGAGGAUAUUGAGAUUAAAUGAUAGCAUAUCUGUGAAAGAUAUGGGUAGAAAGUUCUGAAAAAACACAAUGGGAAAUAAUUAUUUGAUUGACUAGCUGUCCCCAGACAAGAACUAAACAAGAUUAUGCACUAAAGUGCAUACCUUUAAGUAGAAAAGUCUGUGGCUGAGUAGAAAGAUGUGAUUUAUACAUUUAAUAAUUUCAUUAGCACUUAUUCUUAACCAGCCACUGUAUCAUCUCUGGUUUUAAGGCCUUACUUUAUAUACUUGAUUCUGCAACCCAUGUACCCACAUUUAGACAAUGGGUUCUAGUCUUAUGCAAUCCCUAGGCAGCUCUAAUGAGGCAUCUCUUCUAAGCAAAAUGGAUUUUUUAAAAGUCAAAUAGUAAUUAUUUUAGGUAUGGUAAGCCACUGUGUCCUUUGUGGCAAAGACCCAACUCUGCCAUUAUAUUAGGAAAGUAACCAAAGACAGUAUGUUAAUAAUGUUUUUUUUUUCUAAUAUACGUCAUUUAAAUUUAUCAGACAUCAGCCAGGACUUGACCCGAAAGCUCAGGUUUGCAAACCCCUGGUUUAAACAAUUACUGGAAGAAAUUUUGAUGAGUAUGUGUAUAUAGUUUAAAGAGAGCUCAUACUUCUUAAGAUAUGCUUAUUUUACAAGUGAAAAACAAUCCAAAUAUAUACAUUGAUCCUAGAUAGAAGGAUAGAUGGAUGCAUGGAUAGAUAGGUAGGUAGGUAGAUAGAUAGAUAGAUAGAUAGAUAGAUAGAUAGAUAGAUAGAUAGAUAGAUAGAUAGAUAGAAUAAAACUAACCCUGUAUUUCACUUCCCACAGUUAAGAUUUACUAUUAUUAUUUUACAUUUUAUGCUUCCAGGCUUAAAAAAAAAGGAGCACACAUUACAGAUAAAGUUUAUUCGAUUAUUACCCAAAGCCAUAUUCUCUUUACACUCUCUCUUAAGAAAAUCAUUGCGAUGAUUUUGAUGGCUAUAUGUUUUGGAUUUUUAAAAUAUUUAAAAUGCAUAUUUAUAUGAAUAUAAACCUAUCCAGAAUAUAUUCAUAAGAAAUACAUAGAUUUGACUUAUAUAUGUGGUCAUGGCCACCUCCUUUUUUUUUAAAUCUAUGCAAAUGUAUACCCCUACCAGUAGUAUAUAAAUGUUUAUUUUAUGAUAUCCUAGCAAACACUUGAUAUCAUCUUGUUUUUUCACCAUUGCCAAUUUAAAAAGGAGGAAAUAAAAUUCUUUUUUUUAUUGUCUUUUUAGAGCCGCACCCACAGCAUAUGGACAUUCGGAGGCUAGGGGUUAAAUUGGAGCUGUAGCUGUCAGCUCACAGCUACACCAAAUCCUUAACCCACUGAGCAAUGCCAGAGAUACCUGCGUCCUCAUGGAUACCAGUCAGAUUUGUUUCUGCUGAGCCACAAUGGGAAUUCAUAAAAUUCAAUUUUUAAUCUUUGUCAAUUUGAUGGAGUCAAUCCAAUCACAUUUCAUUCUUUUAAUAUAUAUUUUUAUUACAAAUUAAUUUGUCUAGAUACUCAUGUUGCAACAGAAGAAAGGGUGGGGGAAAAACUGUAAUUGCAAUGUAUACAUGUAAGGAUAACCUGACCCCCUUGCUGUACAGUGGGAAAAUAAAAAAAAUAAAAAAAUAAAAAUAAAUUAAAAAAAAUAAUGAUCAUAUGUUUAUUUGCUGUGGAAGGUCAAAUAAUGCCCCCUUAAUAUCCACUCCUCAACCGCCAAACCUAUGAAUAUGUUAGCUUAAAUGGAAAAAGGACUUUGCAGAGUAAGGCUAAAGACUUUGAGAUCCAGAGCUCAUCCUGGAGUAUUUGGGUUCUUCCAGCCCAAUCACAUGAACUCUCAGAAGUAUAAAAAUGAAAGAAGAGUCAAAGAAAUUCAGUGUGAGGAGGACUCCAACUACCCUUGGUGGCUUUACAAAUGAAGGAAGGGAUUCAAGAGUCAAGGAAUGAGGCACCCUCUAAUUCUAGGAAUGACUCUCAGUCUACAGCUUGCAAGAAAACAAGGACCUCAAUACUGCAACCUCAAGGAACUGAAUUCUGCCAACCACCUAAAUGUGUAGGAAACAUUCUCCCAAAGUCUAGAAAGGAAAAAGCCUGCUCACUACUUGAUUUUAGUGUAUUAAGAACUAUGUCAGACUUGUGACCUCAAAAACUAUAAGAUAAUAAAUUUGUGUUUAUUUAAGACAUUGAGUUUGUAGUAUUUGUUAUGUAAACUAUAGAAUUAGAUGUUAGUAUUUAUUCUUUUGUGACUUGUCUGUUAUCAUUUGUCCAUUUUUCUAUCAGGUUGUUGGGUUUGCGUCUUAAGUAGUACUUCUUUGUACACUUUGUUUAAUCAUCCCUUGUUAUAGUUUCUAUUAUAUAAGUUGCAAAAAUCUUCUCUAGGUCUGUCCCUUGUCUUUUAACUAUGUGUUGCCUUGAUAUACAGAUGACUUUAACUUAAUGUAUUAAAAUUUACCAAAAUACGGGCAUUAAGAUUAUGCUUUGUUGUCUUAAGAAAAUACUCUUUCUGCUAUAUUGUUAAAAGAUAACUAGACUCUGUGCUAAUUUGAUCAGUAAGAGAUUUCUAGUUUGAGUGAUGAUAAUGUAAAUUGAUGC